rnacentral:misc_RNA from 1 species
UCAAACUUGGUCAUUUAGAGGAAGUAAAAGUCGUAACAAGGUUUCCGUAGGUGAACCUGCGGAAGGAUCAUUAAAAAAUCUCUUAAAUGAGCCGCAAGGCUCUAACAUUUUGUGAAACGUCGUGUAUUGUUAUUGCUGGCUGCGGGAGGGGGGUGUGAGCCCCUGCUUUUGCGGCUGGCAAUAGUAAAUAUAUUGUAUUAACAUGUGUAUUUUUGACGUUGAGGAAUCGUGUUGUGUACACACCCGUGUGUGCAUAAUGUAUGUAAUAUAUAUACAACUUUCAACAGUGGAUCUCUCGGCUCUUGCAUCGAUGAAGAACGCAGC